GCCUCUAAAAGUAUUAAAGCAGCGGCAGCUGCUGCACGCAGACAUGAGGGCUAGGCUAAAACAGUAAGGUCAAGUUGUUUGGACAGAAAGGCUACAGGGUGCGGUCCUGGCUCUUCUGUAAGAAUUCUGACCGCACUAACCAUGCCUAGGAAGGAAAGGAGUUGUUUUGUAGAAGGUGUUGGGGUUUGAGAGAUCAGUCGGACACGAUUGGCAGGGAGAGCACGUGUUUUUUUAUGAGAAUUAUGCCGAGAUAGGUAACAGAUGAGGAAGAAAUUUGGGCUUGAUUGAAGUAAUGGGGGCUGUCUGUGAAGCUUUGCGGCAGUACAGCCUAGAAAUUACCUUACUUAAUGUAUUCUCCAGAUUAUCCAGAGUUCUCCAAAGAAACAGAUCCGGUCGGUGACUAAACAAGUACUCGCUGCUAUAUUAUCCAGGCCAUUUGCUUGAUCAUUUCCUCUGGUUAAAAGCAAGUAUUUGUUCUUUCAAGUAUUUGUUUUGUUCGGGCUCCAAAAGUUAAAGAGGUAAGUUUACAUCAAGACAGGUAAGUAUCUGUCCACAAUGAAAUCUUGGAAAAGAUGAUUCCCUAUGGUUCAAUUGUGUGGCCCUAAGUAGCACACACGGGCUAAC
rnacentral:lncRNA from 1 species